AAUUGUUGUCUUUUGAUAAUUUAUUGAAUUAUAUGCACUAAUUAUGUGUUUGUUGCAUAGUUUCCAUUGGAUUCUCACUGUUAUUGACCCUUACAAUGAAGUUAUUUAUUUGUUGGAUUCUCUAAGGCACCGCAUUCAUGAUGAGGAUUGGAAAUAUAUAGUGGAAAUGGCCUUAAGAUUGUUUAAUUCAAACAAGGGAAGGAAAGGUAGAAAAAAGGCUAUGUGGGUAAUAGUAAAGGCUCCUCGACAACAAGAUGCCAAACAAUGUGGUUACUAUGUGAUGUGAUUUAUGAGACAAAUUGUUGAAGAAGUUGAAAUUAUCGAAAGAGAUUCACUACGAUCUAUAUUCACACAAGCAGAGUAUUCUCGAGAAGAAAUUGAUGAGGUGCGAUCGGAGUUGGCAGAAUGUAUACAAGAUCAUAUUUAUGAGUAGGUGCGUUCAAGUUUAUGUGGAUACAGGACAGUCGAGAUCAG